GUUAAAGGGGCUUAGCACAAUAAAAGCAGUUGAGUUGCAUUCAAUAGAUGUGGGAUAAAGUCUUGCAGUCCUUA
rnacentral:tRNA from 1 species